GAAGGAAGUUAGUUAGAAAUGAAAGAGAAGUUUGUUUGUUGUGUUGUGUUGUGUAACUUGUGUUGAAUGUGAGUGAGAGAGGGUUGAAAUGAAAGUUUAUUUAUUAGUAACAAGAAGUUGAGAGGAGAGAGAGAGAGAGAGAGAGAGAGAGAGAGAGAGAGAGGACAAAACACGGAGUUGCAACAGAGCAAUGCGUUUCACCAGGAAGGAAG
rnacentral:lncRNA from 1 species